rnacentral:lncRNA from 1 species
CCUUUUGUUUGUUUUUUUGGGGGGUUUUUUUUGGUUUUUUGGUUUUUUUUUAAUUGAAUUUUAUUUUAUUUGUUUUCUUUCACUUAUUGUUGCAUGUGUGUUGUUGAUGCCUAUGUUUGAGUAAUCUCUGUAACUGUGAGACACCUGCUGCUGCCUAUCUUGGCCAGGUCUCCCUUGAAAAAGAGGUUUUUAAUCUCAAUGGGAUCUUCCUGGUUAAAUAAAGGUUAAUAAAAAUAAUAAAAUAAACCUCUCUGUUCGCUCUCACCAUCCUCCUCACUCAACUAGAAUUGUAUUUGCUUGUAAAUGAAAUUUUUUUAAAUAAAAAUAAGCAGAUACUCUAUAAGUCACAGCAACAGUAUAGUGGUAUAGUUGUUAGUCUAUCAAUGACUGAAUCAUUUUUUUUGAGUACAUAUUUUUUUAAAAUAAUAUAUAUACAAGUUAAUUCUCCAAAUAUGUUACUUAAAUAUAAUAAAGUUUCUCUAGAUUACCAUCUGACGUGUAACAUUUGCCUACAUAAGUUCAAAUUAAAUAUUUGUAUCCAUCUUUGGUAUAUUCAGUUCAAUUCAAUUUUAUUUAUAUAGCGUCAAAUCACAACAACAGUCGCCUCAAGACGCUUUACAUUGUAUAGUAGAUCCUAAAAUAAUAUAUAGACUGUUCCACGCACCCCCUCUAAAUACCACUAAGAUGGUACAUUACUCCCCUCCUGGGUUUGUUGUUGCGUUGGUUCACCGUUAUGGCGCUGGUGGAGCUAGUUUGUUGCACUGAACAUGUGUCGUGCGUGUGCGUGAACGAUAACAGUUGGAGCCCAUCAGGGAUUGAACCCAGAACCUUUUGCACCCAAGCCAAGAAACAGACCCCUGACCAACAAGCUACAUAUUGCGAGUGGCAGUGCUCUCAGAUGCUUGGUUAUUUUGGUAAUAUGCUUACUGUCUUUAAAUCAGAAAGCUAAUCUUUCACAUACACAGUAAUAAUGAAGUUGCCGUCCUCCACUGCUUUAUGUUGGCAGGUCCUGUGUAGAAAGAAUCUGACUGGACGUUGUUACUGGAAGGUGGAGUAGAGAGGGUUGAAGUUGCAGUCACAUACGAGAAUGAAGAACAUCAGUGUAGAUUUGAAAUGAAUGAUAAAAUAAAGGUGAAACACACUGUACUGUAAAAAUGACUUAUUACACACGUGCAAUGCAGGCUGUAAUAUAGAUAGCAGAUAAUUUAUCUGAAUUUCAGGAGCGGGACCACUUCUCCAAACAUGCCCCUUCCGGGUCUUAUCUAUAUUUGACCCCCCAGUUCAUUUUUGUUGCCCACCCUCCCUGCCCUUUUUUCAAUUCUUUCACUUCUUCACUACUUGUUAGGGUACCUGGGUCUGGUGACCCAGUGGUUUUGAUUUUGUUUGUGCAUAUUCUGACUUACUGUUUCUAUUAUUUAGUUUUGUAUUUCUAGCUUCCUAAGUUCUUUAGUAUGUCCUGAUUUCCAGUCUUAGGUUUUGUUUACAGUCUUCCCUAUGUUCAGUGUUAUGCCUUUUUCAUGUUUCUGUCUCAGUGUCAGGUUUGCAUUGCUGUGUUAUGUUUCCUGUUUUACUUUGACAGUCUGCAUCUAUUGAGGUGCUGGAUGUAUUACUCAAGGUCCUUACCUUCCAUCUUUCUAUAUAUGUAUAUAAUAUGUAAAUCUCCAAUCAACCAAUUUCAGUGGGCCAAUCUGAAUUAAACUUUACAUGAACAUUGUCACACAUGCAGUGAAUAUUAAAAUCUAUAUGUUAAAAAACAAACAAAAAAACUGUUAUCCCAAUUCUUUGGAUUCUUGGAGUUACAGAUUUAUCAUUGCCCUACAAAUGUGAUUUUAUGUAACAUUUUCAUUUGUAAAAAGUAAAGAAUGAAGACGCUGUUAAAGCACUGCACACCUGACAGUUAAUUAUUCUGUUAACAAGAACAUCUACAUCAUUUGUGGUAUCAUUACUGAGGAGGAGGAGGCUGGUUUUGG